AUCACAUCUUGCAUACUCCCCUCGCCAUGGCCGCCGCCCAGGCGAGGGAAUCCACCCCGCCGCCGAUAAUCGGCCGCGCCGGACGCUACACCGUCUUCAUCACCCCGCCGGCGACGCCGCGUCCUUCCGAGCCGCCCCGCCCUCUCGCCUCCACCCCCAUCUCCACCCCCCGGCCGAUCCCGAGGAGCCCGGUGCCUCUCCCGCCUAAGACACCAUCGCCGCCGCCAG
rnacentral:misc_RNA from 1 species